rnacentral:rRNA from 1 species
AUUGAACGCUGGCGGCAGGCCUAACACAUGCAAGUCGAGCGGUAGAGAGGUGCUUGCAUCUCUUGAGAGCGGCGGACGGGUGAGUAAUGCCUAGGAAUCUGCCUAGUGGUGGGGGAUAACGUUCGGAAACGGACGCUAAUACCGCAUACGUCCUACGGGAGAAAGCGGGGGGAUCUUCGGACCUCGCGCCAUUAGAUGAGCCUAGGUCGGAUUAGCUAGUUGGUGAGGUAAUGGCUCACCAAGGCGACGAUCCGUAACUGGUCUGAGAGGAUGAUCAGUCACACUGGAACUGAGACACGGUCCAGACUCCUACGGGAGGCAGCAGUGGGGAAUAUUGGACAAUGGGCGAAAGCCUGAUCCAGCCAUGCCGCGUGUGUGAAGAAGGUCUUCGGAUUGUAAAGCACUUAAGUUAGGGUAGGAAGGGUAGUAACCUAAUACGUUGCUACUUUGACGUUACCGACAGAAUAAG